GGGGCUAUAGCUCUGUGGUAGAGUGUGUGUUUAGCAUGCACAAGGUCCUGGAUUCAAUCCUUAGUAGCUCCA
rnacentral:tRNA from 1 species